AGCGAACGCUAGCGGCGGGCCUAACACAUGCAAGUCGAGCGGGGGAGCAAUCCCCAGCGGCGGACGGGUGAGUAACACGUAGGUUAUGUGCCCUUUGGUGGGGAAUAACCGUGGGAAACCAUGGCUAAAUUCCGCAUAUCGAGCGAAAUCUUGAAAAGCCUUCGGGGCGCCAAAAGGAGCAACCUGCGGCCCAUUAGCUUGUUGGUAGGGUAACGGCCUACCAAGGCGAUGAUGGGUAGCUGGUCUGAGAGGAUGAUCAGCCACACUGGAACUGAGACACGGUCCAGACUCCUACGGGAGGCAGCAGUGGGGAAUAUUGCGCAAUGGGCGAAAGCCUGACGCAGCCACGCCGCGUGAGUGAUG
rnacentral:rRNA from 1 species